ensembl:snRNA U6 U6 spliceosomal RNA
GUGCUCGCUUCGGCAGCACAUAUGCUAAAAUUGGAAUGAUACAGAGAAGAUUAGCAUGGCCCCUGCGCAAGGAUGACAUGCAAAA